CCUACGGGAGGCAGCAGUGAGGAAUAUUGGUCAAUGGGCGGAAGCCUGAACCAGCCAAGUAGCGUGCAGGAUGACGGCCCUACGGGUUGUAAACUGCUUUUAUGCGGGGAUAAAGUGAGGGACGUGUCCCUUUUUGCAGGUACCGCAUGAAUAAGGACCGGCUAAUUCCGUGCCAGCAGCCGCGGUAAUACGGAAGGUCCGGGCGUUAUCCGGAUUUAUUGGGUUUAAAGGGAGCGUAGGCCGGGGAUUAAGUGUGUUGUGAAAUGUAGGCGCUCAACGUCUGAUGUGCAGCGCAUACUGGUUCCCUUGAGUACGCGCAACGCCGGCGGAAUUCGUCGUGUAGCGGUGAAAUGCUUAGAUAUGACGAAGAACCCCGAUUGCGAAGGCAGCCGGCGGGAGCGCAACUGACGCUGAAGCUCGAAGGUGCGGGUAUCGAACAGGAUUAGAUACCCCAGUAGUC
rnacentral:rRNA from 1 species